rnacentral:tRNA from 1 species
GCCGGUGUGAUGGAAUUGGUAGACGUGCUGGACUCAAAAUCCCGUGGUGGCGACACCGUGUCGGUUCGAGCCCGACCACCGGUACCA